rnacentral:rRNA from 1 species
GACGAACGCUGGCGGCGUGCUUAACACAUGCAAGUCGAACGGAAAGGCCCUGCUUUUGUGGGGUGCUCGAGUGGCGAACGGGUGAGUAACACGUGAGUAACCUGCCCUUGACUUUGGGAUAACUUCAGGAAACUGGGGCUAAUACCGGAUAGGAGCUCCUGCUGCAUGGUGGGGGUUGGAAAGUUUCGGCGGUUGGGGAUGGACUCGCGGCUUAUCAGCUUGUUGGUGGGGUAGUGGCUUACCAAGGCUUUGACGGGUAGCCGGCCUGAGAGGGUGACCGGCCACAUUGGGACUGAGAUACGGCCCAGACUCCUACGGGAGGCAGCAGUGGGGAAUAUUGCACAAUGGGCGGAAGCCUGAUGCAGCAACGCCGCGUGCGGGAUGACGGCCUUCGGGUUGUAAACCGCUUUCGCCUGUGACGAAGCGUGAGUGACGGUAAUGGGUAAAGAAGCACCGGCUAACUACGUGCCAGCAGCCGCGGUGAUACGUAGGGUGCGAGUGUUGUCCGGAUUUAUUGGGCGUAAAGGGCUCGUAGGUGGUUGAUCGCGUCGGAAGUGUAAUCUUGGGGCUUAACCCUGAGCGUGCUUUCGAUACGGGUUGACUUGAGGAAGGUAGGGGAGAAUGGAAUUCCUGGUGGAGCGGUGGAAUGCGCAGAUAUCAGGAGGAACACCAGUGGCGAAGGCGGUUCUCUGGGCCUUUCCUGACGCUGAGGAGCGAAAGCGUGGGGAGCGAACAGGCUUAGAUACCCUGGUAGUCCACGCUGUAAACGGUGGGUACUAGGUGUGGGGUCCAUUCCACGGGUUCCGUGCCGUAGCUAACGCUUUAAGUACCCCGCCUGGGGAGUACGGCCGCAAGGCUAAAACUCAAAGGAAUUGACGGGGCCCCGCACAAGCGGCGGAGCAUGCGGAUUAAUUCGAUGCAACGCGUAGAACCUUACCUGGGUUUGACAUGGAUCGGGAGCGCUCAGAGAUGGGUGUGCCUCUUUUGGGGUCGGUUCACAGGUGGUGCAUGGCUGUCGUCAGCUCGUGUCGUGAGAUGUUGGGUUAAGUCCCGCAACGAGCGCAACCCUUGUUCACUGUUGCCAGCACGUUAUGGUGGGGACUCAGUGGAGACCGCCGGGGUCAACUCGGAGGAGGGUGGGGAUGACGUCAAGUCAUCAUGCCCCUUAUGUCCAGGGCUUCACGCAUGCUACAAUGGCUGGUACAGAGAGUGGCGAGCCUGUGAGGGUGAGCGAAUCUCGGAAAGCCGGUCUCAGUUCGGAUUGGGGUCUGCAACUCGACCUCAUGAAGUCGGAGUCGCUAGUAAUCGCAGAUCAGCAACGCUGCGGUGAAUACGUUCCCGGG